rnacentral:ncRNA from 1 species
UCGGGGGUGCGAAUUUCGCUGAGACGGAUGCUUUCCGAACCCUUUCACCUGAUACGGAUAAUGCCGUCGUAGGGAGUACU